rnacentral:rRNA from 1 species
CCAGACUCCUACGGGAGGCAGCAGUGAGGAAUAUUGGUCAAUGGACGAGAGUCUGAACCAGCCAAGUAGCGUGAAGGAUGACUGCCCUAUGGGUUGUAAACUUCUUUUAUAAAGGAAUAAAACGAGGCACGUGUGCCUCUUUGCAUGUACUUUAUGAAUAAGGAUCGGCUAACUCCGUGCCAGCAGCCGCGGUAAUACGGAGGAUCCGAGCGUUAUCCGGAUUUAUUGGGUUUAAAGGGAGCGUAGGUGGAUUGUUAAGUCAGUUGUGAAAGUUUGCGGCUCAACCGUAAAAUUGCAGUUGAAACUGGCAGUCUUGAGUACAGUAGAGGUGGGCGGAAUUCGUGGUGUAGCGGUGAAAUGCUUAGAUAUCACGAAGAACUCCGAUUGCGAAGGCAGCUCACUGGACUGCAACUGACACUGAGGCUCGAAAGUGUGGGUAUCAAACAGGAUUAGAUACCCGAGUACA